CUCAGCCUUCUGUAGUGCCUUCUCAUGCAGUGUCUCAUGCACUCACUCUCAAGUGCUCAGUCUGAUCGUGGUGCUGCACGCGCACAUGUACAUCUUGACCAUCACAACAGCCCUAUGAACUGGUCAGAGCAACUCUCAUUCUUUAUCCCAUUUCAGUGAGGAUUGUCUCCACGUCUCAGUGUUUAUGAGCCACAACCUGACCCGUAAUUUCCGUCUCAUGCAAUACUUCCCUCCUCUGGGGUGUGCUGGCCUGCAAAUCAUCAAUGAGCUGAUCACACGACAUCAGCUGCGCCUCAUCCGGAGAGCACAGACAUGGAGACAAAACUGGCCUCCUUUGGAGAAUGUUCUGGGCCCCAGAGCGUCCAUCUGCUCUCGACUACCCAGGGAGAUAAUAUGCACAGUGAGUGCUGUGACCCUGCCUUCCAAUUGAGGGUGAUGAAAUCUGCGAAUCCAAACAUCCCACGGGUUUUAUCGAAGAGAACCUGCAUUUGAUCUGGGGUCUGCCUGCUCUUCAGAAGUUCCUUAAAGAACUGGUGGGAUGAGCUCACUUUGAAGUAAGGUAAAAUGAUAGUCAUGCCAAAUAUGUUCAAGGUUAAGGGUUGAGGAAUUUCAUUUCUGAAUUUACUGUUAGCUACGACUUGCUACUGCUCCUCCCAACAAUUUUAAGUCCUAUGAUUAAUCACAGUUUGUUCCUGUAAGCAAGUAAAGCAAUGGGGGCCCUCGAAGGUGGAUCCUGUUUCCCAGGCAAGUCUGAAGAGAGCAUCUGCUGCAGUCAUCAAGAGAAGGACCGAAGGAUCUGGCCCCACUUUGGUGGACAGGAAUGGAUGAGAAGGAAUUCCAGAAAAGGGAAGAGUCCUUGUCAUAGACAGGUACCGCAUGUGACACACUAUAUCUGUGCUCUUAGAUGAGCCUUGAGACCCAGGCCAGCUCCUCUGAUCUUUCUUUGGGCUAGAACUUGGGAGAGGCCCAGGGCCUUGGUCAGGCUAUGGUCCAGAUGGAGCCUGAAUCCUGCAUCUGGUCCAGGCACCUUCAUCCAAAAAGGACAUGAUGAUGGAUGGGCAGCUGGGGCCACUUUCUUCAACCACCACAGUUGCCGAUCAGCCUCUUCCCCCUUCUCUUUUAAAUGCCUACUAUCGCUCACUCAAUUUGAUCAGAC
rnacentral:lncRNA from 1 species